AGCGAACGCUGGCGGCAGGCUUAACACAUGCAAGUCGAGCGGGCCUUUCGGGGUCAGCGGCGGACGGAUGAGUAACGCGUGGGAACGUGCCCUCUGGUUCGGAAUAACUCAGGGAAACUUGAGCUAAUACCGGAUACGCCCUUUUGGGGAAAGGCUUGCUGCCGGAGGAUCGGCCCGCGUCUGAUUAGCUAGUUGGUGAGGUAACGGCUCACCAAGGCGACGAUCAGUAGCUGGUCUGAGAGGAUGAUCAGCCACACUGGGACUGAGACACGGCCCAGACUCCUACGGGAGGCAGCAGUGGGGAAUAUUGGACAAUGGGCGCAAGCCUGAUCCAGCCAUGCCGCGUGAGUGAUGAAGGCCUUAGGGUUGUAAAGCUCUUUUAUCCGGGACGAUAAUGACGGUACCGGAGGAAUAAGCCCCGGCUAACUUCGUG
rnacentral:rRNA from 1 species